UACGUAGGGGGCAAGCGUUGUCCGGAAUCAUUGGGCGUAAAGAGCGCGUAGGCGGCCCGGUAAGUCCGCUGUAAAAGUCCAGGGCUCAACCCUGGAAAGCCGGUGGAUACUGUCGGGCUAGAGUCCGGAAGAGGCGAGUGGAAUUCCUGGUGUAGCGGUGGAAUGCGCAGAUAUCAGGAAGAACACCCGUGGCUAAGGCGGCUCUCUAGUACGGUACUGACGCUGAGACGCGAAAGCGUGGGGAGCGAACAGG
rnacentral:rRNA from 1 species